rnacentral:ncRNA from 1 species
UUAUUAUUUGGUUUUGGUUAAUAAAUUAGCUAAUUUAUUGAAGUACACAUGCAAAUAUUAGUACCCCCGUAAACUUAUAUGUUUAGCCUAAACGACAAACUAUAAAUUAAUUAAUAUAAUUAUAAUAAAGUUUACGCCUGCAGUGAAUAAUACUAAAAUAUUUAUGAAAAUAAGAAAUGGCGAAUAAAUUAAAGACUGACAAAAUCCGUGCCAGCAGCCGCGGUUAAACGGAAAGUCUAAACUAAUUACCACGGAGAACGAAAUCAACACUUGAUAAAAAAAAUUUUUUAUUAGGUACAAUUUUUUAAAUAAAUAAAUCCAUUUAUCAUCCCCUUCUUUCGACAAAGUUAAAACCAAAACAAGGAUUAGAUACCCUUUUAUUCUUAACCACACACUAAACCUCCUGGCACUACGAGCACAUGCUUAAAACCUAAAAAACUUGGCGGUUUCUCAACAUACUAGGGGAGCCUGUUCUUUAACUCGAUAAUCCACGCUUAAACUAACCUAGAAUUGUAAUACAGCUUGUGUACUGCCGUCUAAAGUUUGAAUAGCAAUAUACAAGCUAGAUAAGUUAACCUUAAUACGUCAGGUCAAAGUGCAGCUUAUAUCUAGGAUUUAAUGGGCUACAUUUUUCAAAAAUACGAAUAUAUAUUUAAACCUAUAUUAAAGAUGGACUUAGCAGUAAAUAAAAAAUAAAAAAUUUUAUUGAAGAAGCAAAAUGAGAUGCGCACAAAUCGCCCGUCACUCUUUCUGAAAAGAAAGAUAAGUCGUAACAUAGUUAGUGUAAUGGAAAUUGCACUUAUCAUAGC